GGGGGUGUAGCUCAGCUUGGUUAGAGCGCUUGCCUGUCACGCAAGAGGUCGAGGGUUCGAGUCCCUUCACUCCCGCCA
rnacentral:tRNA from 2 species